UUAUUUAUGUUUAUUAAUUUAUUUAUUUUUAAAUAAUAAUAAUAAAAAAAUCUUAAUUUAAGCUUUCUUUUGAGUAUGGUAAAGCAGAAAUGAUCUGCCAGUGAUAAGCCAUAAUGCAGAGUAGGUUCUCUGGGUCAUUCAGUGUGUAAAAAAUAAGGCAGUGCUCAAUUUCCUUUGCAGAUGAAUGCAGAGAUAAUAGAAAGGAUAAUUACAAGAAACAGCGACUCAAAGAGGGAGAAUAUAUUCUCUUAAAUACACCAAAAUAACAAAAGGACAAUAAAAACCCCCAAACAAUGAAACAACAAAUGUCAAAUAAAAAAUAAAUAGGAUCCUAGAGUAUAUAUUCUUGUAUUUCAAAUUAUUUAUUCCUUCUCUGCAGGAAGCAGGGAAAGAUAAUAAAAUACACAAAAUGCAUUGGCUUACAAGAGUUUGCGCUGUGGAUGUAGAAGGUGGAAACUGCUUCCCAAUCAAUUUUUUAACACUGUGUUUUUGCCUGCACUAACAGAACUCAAACCAGAAAACAACACUAUUAUUAAUUUAUUCCCUUGUCAUUAUUACCACUGCAUAACUUGAAGUAACUCACUGCAUAUGCUAAAAAUUCUACUUAGUAUAGAAGGAAUGGAUUAUAUUAUUUUGCUUAAUUUUCCUGCAUAAACAAGUAACCAAAAUUUAUAUGAAGCCAGUCUGAGCAUUUACAUUCUGACAUAUAUCUAAAUUUUACUUUCAUUAAAAAAAGAUAAAAAUAACAGUAAGAAAAAAAAUUCAGUGCAGUGAGCUGUGAAUUUUCAUCAUCAUUGCUAUUACUACUACUACUUCUACUACUACUACUGCUAUUACUACUACUACUAUUUUUGUAGGAAAUAUUUAUUAAGAAAUCAUGCUGGAAAAUUAAAAUAAUUUUUUAGCUAAUAGUUCAGCUAAAUUUUAAGCUAAUUAUAUUUCUGAUGUUCUGCCAGCCCAGGUUUAUGAGGUGUUUUAUAAAAGUCUGCAUCUCAUUGGUAUUCUCUGGUAAAAUAAUGAAGAAAUAGGUGUUAAAACCAUGAAUUGCUCCAAAAGCCAAAUAUGUCUGGGAAAGUGAAGAAUAAACCCAAAACCUCUUGACUUGCA
rnacentral:lncRNA from 1 species